UGUUGCAAGGUGCGAGUUCCCCCAUCCCACCAGCACACCUGCCCCGGAGAAGGGAGCACUGGGUGGUACCGUGGUCCUGGGGUCUGAAGCACAGAGGACACCCUGAGCGCCGGCUCCAACAUGGGGGAGACAUGGGGCUGUGGCAAACCCAGAGUCCCAUCUAAGGGACUGGCUGCUGCCUCGCUUCUCCUCUGUGAGUGCCUGAUUUCUUCACAGAUGGGCUUCGUGCAUCCGUUUGUCCAUUCAUGAAUUGAGCAAAUAGUUCCUGCAUGCUAGCACUGCGUUGGCACUGGGUGUGCAGUUGUAAGCAAGACAGGCACGGCCGUUGUCUUUAGGGAGCUCAUGUUAAACAAGCACGUAAACAUGUCAUUGCAAAUUAUGCUCAGAGUCAUAAAGACAAGGCCCAGACUCUGUGACAUAGAAUACCAAGAGGGGGAUGUGCUUUAGUUAGGGUGGUCAGGGAGGGUCUCUCCAAAGAUGAGACGUCGAUGUUGAGAGUCAGUCAUGGAAAGAGACAGGAGAGAACAUCCCAGACAGAGAGCACAGUGUGCACCAAAGCCAGAAGCAUUCAGUGGAGCCAAGGUUUGUGUGGUGGGAACACAGAGGGGGAUGUGGGCUCGAGACAAGGUCCUCAGGGGUCUAGAAGGAUCUCUAGUAUUCCUUCAGUGCUACCAUUAUGUGGGUCUUCCUUGAGAGCCGGAGGAGGAAUGUUUUCAUGUGAACAAGCCGCAGGAGGAAGGAGGCAGUCUCAUUUCUUUUAUCCAGAGUCUCGAUGUGGGAUAGACGAUCCCGGGGAAGACCAGAACGAGGUCACGCGUGGAGCCAGCCCUGAAGCUGACGUAUUCUUUCACAUGACACAGGCCAAAGCAUAUCAGAAGCUGGUUAGCUUCAGUGGAAGAUGAGCAAGUUCUGAAAUGAGCAAGAACCAAAGAAGGCCAGGGGCACCUGGGUGGCUCAGUCGGUUAAGCGGCCGACUUAGCUGGUUUGUGAGUUCGAGCCCCGAGUCCGGCUCUGUGCUGACAGCUCAGAGCCUGCAGCCUGCUUCAGAUUCUGUGUCUCCCUUGCUCUCUGCCCCUCCCCCACUCAUGCUCUGUCUCUCUUAAAAAUAAACAUUAA